GAUGAACGCUAGCGGCAGGCUUAAUACAUGCAAGUCGAACGGUAAGUUGAGUAGCAAUACUUGACCUAGAGUGACGUACGGGUGCGUAACACGUAUGCAACCUACCCAUAACAGGAGGAU
rnacentral:rRNA from 1 species